rnacentral:rRNA from 1 species
UACAGAGGGUGCGAGCGUUACUCGGAAUUACUGGGCGUAAAGCGCGCGUAGGCGGCUUUGCAAGUCGGAUGUGAAAUCCCCAGGCUUAACCUGGGAACUGCAUUCGAGACUGCAUUGCUAGAGUAUGGGAGAGGGAAGUGGAAUUUCCGGUGUAGCGGUGAAAUGCGUAGAUAUCAGGAGGAACACCUGCGGUGUAGACGGCUUUCUGGACCAUUGUUGACGCUGAGACACGAAAGCGUGGGUAGCAAACAGG